UUUGAUCAUGGCUCAGGAUGAACGCUGGCGGCGUGCCUAACACAUGCAAGUCGAGCGGACCAAUGCCCAUUUCAGCUUUGCUGAUUUGAGCAACGGUUAGCGGCGGACGGGUGAGUAACGCGUGGGCAACCUGCCCUGUGCAGGGGGAUAACACAGCGAAAGCUGUGCUAAUACCCCAUAAGACUACGCUAUCGCAUGAUAGAGUAGUCAAAGCUUUAGCGGCACAGGAUGGGCCCGCGUCUGAUUAGCUAGUUGGUGGGGUAACGGCCUACCAAGGCGACGAUCAGUAGCCGACCUGAGAGGGUGAUCGGCCACACUGGAACUGAGACACGGUCCAGACUCCUACGGGAGGCAGCAGUGGGGAAUAUUGCACAAUGGGGGAAACCCUGAUGCAGCAACGCCGCGUGAGCGAAGAAGGCCUUCGGGUCGUAAAGCUCUGUCCUAAGGGAAGAAGUAUGACGGUACCUUAGGAGGAAGCCCCGGCUAACUACGUGCCAGCAGCCGCGGUAA
rnacentral:rRNA from 1 species